UACGAAGGGGGCAAGCGUUGUUCGGAAUUACUGGGCGUAAAGGGCGCGUAGGCGGCUUAUCAAGUCAGGCGUGAAAUUCCCGGGCUCAACCUGGGGGCUGCGCUUGAUACUGAUUGGCUUGAAUGCGGGAGAGGAUAGUGGAAUUCCCAGUGUAGAGGUGAAAUUCGUAGAUAUUGGGAAGAACACCGGUGGCGAAGGCGGCUAUCUGGCCCGUAAUUGACGCUGAGGCGCGAAAAGCGUGGGGAGCAAACAGG
rnacentral:rRNA from 1 species